rnacentral:tRNA from 1 species
GGUAGAGUGGCCGAGUCAGGUGGCGAGUUGUAAACUCGCUUACAGGGGCAGCACCCCUCACUACCA